AGGUCUCAUGUCUGCUUAUGCGGUGGCUCGCUGCUCAGAACAGGGAACCAUUGGAGAUACUCAUUACUCUUUGAAGGCUUACAGUGGAAUGAAUUCAAAUACGACUUAUUUGAGGAAUUGAAGUUGACUUUAUGGAGCUGAUAAGAAUCUUCUUGGAGAAAAAAAGACUGGAUCUUUCAUUGUAGUACUUCUGAAUUAACCAAAAUCACAGUAUUCUGAAGAUGAUUCUACAAAGCCUGCUGUUUCUACAAAGGCUGCUGAUGAUUUCUACAAAGCCUGCUGUAGUGUUGCUGUGGCCUCUGCUUAAAAAAGUAGAAAACACAUUGAUGCAGCAUGUUCACCCCAACCUCCCUGCCUAAAGGCUCAGGGACCAUCUUGGAAGAGGAAGGCGCGUGAGAUUGUAAGAGCCGAAUUAGGGGGAUGGAGUGUGGAGAAUAAGGACACUUCAUCUUGGAUGCUCACCUGCCAAAUUGACUUCUGAUGAAAGCCAGCUCCAGAAAUGUGCCUACAGUUACUACUUUCACCUAAACCCUGCCCUUAGUCAAAUCCUUCUCUUCUUCUAAGCAAUCAACUUCAAUUCCUUGUAUAACCCACAGUAUAAAAGGGCUUUUAUACCAUUCUAUCCUAUUGCAUGUAAGCCUUGGGUCUGGGAGGUAACAGUGUGGGAUUCCACCAUCUCAUCUCCCUGCCACCCAAACAUGCCUGCUCUUCUUUAAGCAAUAUUAAAUGUUUGUACUUCAG
rnacentral:lncRNA from 10 species